rnacentral:rRNA from 1 species
UACGAAGGGGGCUAGCGUUGCUCGGAAUCACUGGGCGUAAAGGGUGCGUAGGCGGGUUUUUAAGUCAGGGGUGAAAUCCUGGAGCUCAACUCCAGAACUGCCUUUGAUACUGAAGAUCUUGAGUUCGGAAGAGGGUCGUGGAAUUCCCAGUGUAGAGGUGAAAUUCGUAGAUAUUGGGAAGAACACCGGUGGCGAAGGCGGCGACCUGGUCCGAAACUGACGCUGAGGCGCGAAAGCGUGGGGAGCAAACAGG